CAUGUAGGCGGCUCGAUAAGUCAUGUGUUAAAGCCCCUGGCUCAACUGGGGGAGGUCAUGUGAGACUAUCGGACUUGAGGGCAGUAGAGGCACGUGGAACUCCCGGUGUAGCGGUGGAAUGCGUAGAGAUCGGGAAGAACACCCGUGGCGAAGGCGACGUGCUGGGCUGUACCUGACGCUGAGGUGCGAAAGUGUGGGGAGCAAACG
rnacentral:rRNA from 1 species